rnacentral:misc_RNA from 1 species
AUGGGGUUGGUGGAAAUGGGUUCGGUAAUAUCGGGAGUGCAGGGGGAAGUGGCGGUGGAACGAUCUUGUUUGUUGGUGAUUUACAUUGGUGGACUACUGAUGCGGAGCUGGAGGUGGAACUCUGUAAGUAUGGUCCGUUGAAGGAGGUCAAGUUUUAUGACGAGAAAGCCAGUGGAAAAUCAAAAGGUUACUGCCAGGUUGAGUUUUAUGAUCCUUCUGCUGCCACAGCUUGCAAGGAGGGAAUGAAUGGGCAUAUUUUUAAUGGACGACCAUGUGUUGUUGCAUAUGCAUCCCCUUUUAGUGUUAAGAAGAUGGGAGAAGCGCAAGUUAACAGGAACCAACAGAUGGCCCAAGCUACUAAUCCUCAAGCAAGGAGAGGUCCUAAUGAUGUUGUUGGUAAAAUUGGUGGAAGUAGCAUUGCAACGGGUGGUAACUAUCAAGGUGGUGAUAACAAUAGAGGUUCUGGGAGAGGCAAUUGGGGAAGAGGUAAUGCACAUGGAAUGGGAGGUCGAGGACCGGCUGGCCCAAUGAGGAGUAGGGGUGGUGGGAUGGGUGGCAGAGGUAUAAUGGGAAAUGGUGGAAAUGGAUUUGGCCAAGGAAUUGGUGCUACCCCUCCUUUGUUGCAUCCGCAGUCAAUGAUGGGUCAAGGUUUUGAUCCAUCUUUUGGUGCACCCAUGGGGAGAAUGGGCACAUAUGGUGGUUUUCCUGGAGCUCCGGCCCCCCCUUUUUCUGGAAUUUUGUCGUCCUUUCCCCCUGUUGGGGGUGUUGGCCUUCCUGGUGUAGCUCCUCAUGUGAACCCAGCAUUUUUUGGAAGAGGUAUGCCUAUGAAUGGAAUGGGUAUGAUGCCAACAUCAGGUGUUGAUGGG